GUGAGGAAUAUUGGUCAAUGGGCGGGAGCCUGAACCAGCCAAGUCGCGUGAAGGAAGAAGGAUCUAUGGUUCGUAAACUUCUUUUGCAGGGGAAUAAAGUGCAGGACGUGUCCUGUUUUGUAUGUACCCUGAGAAUAAGGAUCGGCUAACUCCGUGCCAGCAGCCGCGGUAAUACGGAGGAUCCGAGCGUUAUCCGGAUUUAUUGGGUUUAAAGGGUGCGUAGGUGGUUUGAUAAGUCAGCGGUGAAAGUUUGCAGCUUAACUGUAAAAAUGCCGUUGAAACUGUCGGAAUUGAGUGUAAAUGAGGUAGGCGGAAUGCGUGGUGUAGCGGUGAAAUGCAUAGAUAUCACGCAGAACUCCGAUUGCGAAAGCAGCUUACUAAGCUACAACUGACACUGAAGCACGAAAGCGUGGGGAUCAAACAGGAUUAGAAACCCCAGUAGUCC
rnacentral:rRNA from 1 species